GUAUCCCUCAUCGCUCACUGGACAUUUGGGUGAAAACCAAACUCCUUAGAUUCCGGCUCAUACGUGGGUGCCAUGUUUUCUCAAGAACACUGGAUGGCACCAGUCAGUUGGUCACAAGAAGAGAAUAAAGGAGACAUCUAGAAACAGCAGCAGACAGCAGGAGAGCUGCACUAAUGGCUACAGUGAGUACUCGAGUGGCUCACACAGAAAAUGAUCACCUUGUUCAGAGACACUUAAGCCUCACCAGCCUCCAGGGUCUACCCUUGUGUGAGGCCAAUGGUUUAAACGGAGGUGACUGAAGCUGACACACAACCCCUUUCUCUCCAGAGCUCAUGCUUUAUUUGCUGUCUGUCUAGCCUGCCACCUUCCACACUCUGGCCC
rnacentral:lncRNA from 1 species